UGCAUUUACAGGGCACGUCCAUUCCUAAUCAUUGUGCUCUGUGUCUCCUUAGGGAGAAAUAAAGGCAGCGCUGCCCUCGGGGGAGCAUUGGCCCUGGCGGAACGCAGCAGCCGCGAGGGAUCCAGCCAGAGGAUGCCACGGCAGCCCAGCGCUACCAGGCUGCCCAAGGGGGGCGGGCCUGGGAAGAGCCCUAUGCAGGGCAGCACCUAGGAUGGCGCAGAGACUUGUCACAUCUUUGUCCCCAGCAAAGGCUACGUGUUACCUCCUUCAGUUGAUAAUAAACCUUUCUGAGAUGCAGAGGGUCCAGGCUUGAGUGACAACUUGAGGACAAGGCGGUGCCUCGACAAGAUUUCACACAGCAGCUACGCGGGCCAGAGAAGCAGCACCACAUGGUGUGGCAGGAGAAGGAGGACAUGCACAAGCAAUUGGUUGAAGCUUCAGAGACAUUGAAAUCCCAAGCCAAAGAACUGAAAGAUGCCCAUCAGCAGCAAAAGCUGGCCCUGCAGGAGUUCUUGGAGCUCAAUGAGCUCAUGGCAGAGCUCUACUCCCAGAAGCAGAAGGUGUGGGACAAGGAGGAGGAGAUGGAAGUAGCCAUGCAGAAAGCUGACAUGAUGUGGCAGGAGAUCUGAAGAUCCAAGAAGCUCAGAAAGAGGAUGCUGUUUAGCCAGAUGCGGUGGCUCACGCCUGUAAUCCCAGCACUUUGGGAGGUCGAGGCGGGCGGAUGGCCUGAGGUCAAGAGUUUGAGACCAGCCUGGCCAACAUGGUGAAACCCCGUCUCUAUUAAAAAUGCAAAAAUUAACCAGGCAUGGUAUUGGGUGCCUGUAAUCCUAGCUACUUGGGAGGCUGAAGCAGGAGAAUUGCUUGAACCUGGGAGGCGGAGGUUGCAGUGAGCCAAGAUCAUGCCACUGCACUCCAGCCUGGGCAACAAGAGCAAAACUCUGUCUCAAAAAAAAAAGGUGGGGGGGGGAGGAAGCUAUUUAGAUAUUUCAGUGAUGGUAUUGACUGGACUUUUGUAUGACCUUAAUAAAACAUCUUUGAAAACUUGGGCUGUGUUAUGUAAAUUACUUUAAAAUCAUCUUAAGUUUUAUGUGAACCCAAGUAAGUUGAUCUGCCAAGCAUUUA
rnacentral:lncRNA from 1 species